AUUGGGUGUGGUGGCUCACACCUGCAAUCCCAGCUACCUGGGAGGCUAGGGCAGGAGGAUCGCUUGAGCCCAGGAGUUUGAGACCAGCCUGGGCAACAUAGUGAGACCCUGCCCUUA
ensembl:misc_RNA Metazoa_SRP Metazoan signal recognition particle RNA